rnacentral:rRNA from 1 species
CCUACGGGGGGCAGCAGUGAGGAAUAUUGGUCAAUGGACGAGAGUCUGAACCAGCCAAGUAGCGUGAAGGAUGACUGCCCUAUGGGUUGUAAACUUCUUUUAUAUGGGAAUAAAAUGUUCCACGUGUGGGAUUUUGUAUGUACCAUAUGAAUAAGGAUCGGCUAACUCCGGGCCAGCAGCCGCGGUAAUACGGAGGAUCCGAGCGUUAUCCGGAUUUAUUGGGUUUAAAGGGAGCGUAGGUGGAUUGUUAAGUCAGUUGUGAAAGUUUGCGGCUCAACCGUAAAAUUGCAGUUGAAACUGGCAGUCUUGAGUACAGUAGAGGUGGGCGGAAUUCGUGGUGUAGCGGUGAAAUGCUUAGAUAUCACGAAGAACUCCGAUUGCGAAGGCAGUUCACUGGACUGCAACUGACACUGAGGCUCGAAAGUGUGGGUAUCAAACAGGAUUAGAUACCCGAGUAGUC